rnacentral:misc_RNA from 1 species
AACCAUAGAAACCUGCGGAGUACCUGCGGAAGGAUCAUUAAUAGAGUGUAACCCCCCCUGUAAAAAAAAGGGGGUAACCUCCCGUCCUUUGCUGGUCCCCUAUUUGGGGGGUCUUUUAUUUUGACUUUGCUUCGGUGGGGUAAUCCACCGGAACACCCUUAAAAAUUCUUGAUUUUAAAAAUUGUUCAGUCCGAGAUUAUAUUUUAAACAAAUUGAAAACUUUCAGCAACGGAUCUCAGA